rnacentral:rRNA from 1 species
UACGUAGGUCCCGAGUGUUAUCCGGAAUUACUGGGCGUAAAGCGUUUGUAGCCGGAUUGAAAAGUCUGUUUUCAAAGACCCUAGCUCAACUAGGGAACGGGAAUAGAUACUUUCGAUCUAGAGAUAUUUGGAGGUUAGUGGAAUUUCCGGUGGAGCGGUGAAAUGUGUUGAUAUCGGAAAGAACGCCGAAAGCGAAAGCAGCUAACUACAAUACGUCUGACGGUGAGAAACGAAAGCUUGGGGAG